GUGCUCACUUUAGCAGCAUAUAUACUAAAACUGGAAUGAUACAGAGAAAAUUAGUAUGACACCUGUGCAAGGAUGAUGCACAAAUUCAUGAAACAUUCUAUAUUUUU